rnacentral:tRNA from 1 species
AAAGAGGCUCUAAAGCAAUUAGGGACUGCUAAUCCCUACCCCCGCGGUUAAAUUCCGCG